rnacentral:siRNA from 1 species
GAUCACUGCCGGAAAUGACCA